rnacentral:rRNA from 1 species
AACGAACGCUGGCGGCGUGGAUUAGGCAUGCAAGUCGAACGGGAUUCUAAACGUUCAAGUUUUCGGACGAGAAUGUUUGGAUGAGAGUGGCGAACGGGUGAGUAACGCGUGGGUAAUUUGCCCAUGAAGUUGGGGAUAGCCAAUCGAAAGGUUGGAUAAUACCGAAUGUGGUCGUCUUCCGCAUGGAAGACUAUCUAAAGGUGGGGAUCCGCAAGGACCUGCCGCUUCUGGAUAAGCCCGCGUCCCAUCAGCUUGUUGGUGAGGUAACGGCUCACCAAGGCUUACGGGUAGCUGGUCUGAGAGGAUGGUCAGCCACACUGGGACUGAGACACUGCCCAGACUUCUACGGAAGGCUGCAGUCGAGAAUCAUUGUCAAUGCACGAAAGUGCGAACAUGCGACGCCGCGUGCAGGAUGAAGGCCUUCGGGUUGUAAACUGCUGUCUUGAAAGAACAAUAGCACGGGGGUGAAUAGCCCGAUGUGUGUGAUGGUAUUUCAGGAGGAAGCCACGGCUAACUCUGUGCCAGCAGCCGCGGUAAUACAGAGGUGGCAAGCGUUGUUCGGAUUUACUGGGCGUAAAGGGUGCGUAGGCGGCUCCGUAUGUCGG